CCUACGGGAGGCAGCAGUGAGGAAUAUUGGUCAAUGGACGAGAGUCUGAACCAGCCAAGCAGCGUGAAGGAUGACUGCCCUAUGGGUUGUAAACUUCUUUUAUAAAGGAAUAAAACGAGGCUCGAGUGCCUAUUUGCAUGUACUUUAUGAAUAAGGAUCGGCUAACUCCGUGCCAGCAGCCGCGGUAAUACGGAGGAUACGAGCGUUAUCCGGAUUUAUUUGGUUUAAAGGGAGCGUAGAGGGGUUGUUAAGUCAGUUGUGAAAGUUUGUGGCUUAACCUUAAAAUUGCAAUUGAUACUGGCAGUCUUGAGUACAGUUGAGGUAGGUGGAAUUCGUGGUGUAGCAGUGAAAUGCUUAGAUAUGACGAAGAACCCCGAUUGCGAAGGCAGCUUACUAAGCUGUAACUGACGUUGAUGCACGAAAGUGUGGGUAUCAAACAGGAUUAGAUACCCUAGUAGUC
rnacentral:rRNA from 1 species